rnacentral:rRNA from 1 species
UACGUAGGGAGCAAGCGUUGUCCGGAAUCAUUGGGCGUAAAGCGCGCGUAGGUGGCUUCGUAAGUCCGUUGUGAAAGUCAAAGGCUCAACCUUUGAAAGCAGAUGGAUACUGCGGAGCUAGAGUACGGAAGAGGCGAGUGGAAUUCCUGGUGUAGCGGUGGAAUGCGCAGAUAUCAGGAGGAACACCAAUAGCGAAGGCAGCUCGCUGGGACGUUACUGACACUGAGGCGCGAAAGCGUGGGGAGCGAACAGG